CUCACACCCAGAUGGUAGCCAAUCUUCCAA
rnacentral:piRNA from 1 species